GAUGAACGCUGGCGGCGUGCCUAAUACAUGCAAGUCGAGCGAACGGACGAGAAGCUUGCUUCUCUGAUGUUAGCGGCGGACGGGUGAGUAACACGUGGAUAACCUACCUAUAAGACUAGGAUAACUUCGGGAAACCGGAGCUAAUACCGGAUGAUAUUUUGAACCGCAUGGUUCAAAAGUGAAAGACGGUCUUGCUGUCACUUAUAGAUGGAUCCGCGCUGCAUUAGCUAGUUGGUAAGGUAACGGCUUACCAAGGCAACGACGCAUAGCCGACCUGAGAGGGUGAUCGGCCACACUGGAACUGAGACACGGUCCAGACUCCUACGGGAGGCAGCAGUAGGGAAUCUUCCGCAAUGGGCGAAAGCCUGACGGAGCAACGCCGCGUGAGUGAUGAAGGUCUUCGGAUCGUAAAACUCUGUUAUUAGGGAAGAACAUAUGUGUAAGUAACUGUGCACAUCUUGACGGUACCUAAUCAGAAAGCCACGGCUAACUACGUG
rnacentral:rRNA from 1 species